AAUCCCAGCAUUUGGGAUGCUGAGGCAGAAUGAGGACUAUAAAUUCAAAGACAACCUGGACUACAUAGUGAAAUAAUGGUAUUAUUAAGCCAAAGGCUAAUUCAAAAGAGCUGAAAAGCUACAGUCUGCCAGCCACAGGCAGUUGCUUGAAUUGACCACCAGGUGGCAGCCUGUUCCUAGGCUGUAUAGCCUCUCACAUUGCUAAGACCCAGAGACCAUUCUCAGACUGCCAAAAGGAUGUGUGUGGAUUCUACUAGAGGUAAAGACUAGAAACUUUAGGGAUGAGCUAUCAGCUGCAGGAGCACCACUGUAACCUUGCCUGUGACUGGUAGUAUUCACAAGCAAAAGGAUUUGUCAACUUUUAAAGGGUACCUGUAUGCCCCUUCUCUACUUUGGCAAGAGAGCACAUACCCUUCUUCCACAGACUGCACUAUAGACCAGGUUUAAAUAACUCUUUGGGUCUCUAUUUGUAAGCCAAAAAACUUAUGGGAGCUUCCAGGUCCCAUAGGCCCUCCGUGAGAAAAGGAUACCAAUCUACCCACUGUUCUGAGUCAAAAUUUGUCCAAAUAAAGAGGUUAAAGCAGCAUGGCAUACCUUUUAGAUUUUUAUUAGUAGUUCUCUGAAGAAUCAAAAUAGUUAGCAAAUUACUUUAGAUUCAAGACUGUAGUAUAUCCUUUGUUGUUUAAAUCUUUAAUGUUGAAGAACAUAAUACAAACAAACCAGAGAGACUGGUUUCUAUGCCUAGGUGUUAUUCAUUUGUCAUCCUAAAGCAGGGCUGGAGAAGGCUGUUCAACAACUGGGGGUUAGUGCUGAGUGACAAGUCGUGGCCUGUUUCCUCAUCAAUGUGCUGGGAAGGAGCCGAUGAUUACUCAAACUGCUUACAGCUUCCUAGCACAGGGGCUCCAAUGCCCUGGGCAGCAGAGGAUUAUGGUCUAAGCCAAAAGAAACAGUCUGAAGAGGGGCACAUGGGAACUGCCUGGCAGAAGAGGCAGACUUUGCCCCAUGAGGAAAAGUGCAUCUUUGUACCGCAGAGACAUUCCAGAACCAGUGUAACACUAAGGGCUGUGUGUGGGGGAAGGCGGGCCCCGGAAGAACCUCUCAGUUGCAUUCCACUUGGGUUAGAGCCCAGUCUGCCAGUGAAGCAGCAGAGAGGACAGCGUCUAGCCCCAGAGCAGCAGCAAUCUGCUCCUGUCUUCCCACUCUUGGUAGCCAGGCUAGGUUUUGGCUGAGAACAUAAGUAUUCUUCCUGAAAGGCCAAAGUGGGAAGGACACUUCUCAAAAUACAGAUGUUUAAUAUCAAAGGAACCAGUAGAGGGCAUAUAUGUAUGCCCAAGUCUUCCUACUUUGCCCCAGCUCAGGCCUGGGCUCCCAGAGCAAGUGUCACCUCCACAUCUGACCUUCUAACCCCCAAAGAAAAUCUGGAAGCAUGUCCCGUCUUCCCCACAAGUGAGCUGUGCAGGGCCUCCUUGGGGAAUGGUGGUGCCGUGGCAAGGCCGUGGCAGGGCCUGGUCUCAGCUGGCUUCAGCCCGGGCCAUGAGGUCUUCCAGAGCAU
rnacentral:lncRNA from 1 species